GGUUUCAUAGUGUAGGUGGUUAUCACAUCAGAUUCUGAAGCUAAAUCCUUGUGUCCAAGGUAUUCAGAUAGUCCUUCUGGGGACCUGGGUUCGAGUCCCAGUGAGACCU